GUAAUUCUCAUUCCUGGGUUGCCAUAUGGUCUUAAAGGCAACAUAACCAAUCUGACAAAUUUCAAUGUAUAAAAACUGAAAAGGGGAAAGCCCUAUAUUGGACCCUGUAACUUUCCAAAACCCCAUAAAACCUGUACAUGGGGGGUACUGUUGUACUCAUGGAACAUCGCUGAACACAAAUAUGAGCAGUACAAAGUAUAAUGACGAUGAUAUCAUCAGUGAAAAUGCAGUUUUUGUGAAAAAUUGCAAUAAACAAAUAUGAACACUAACUUUGGCCAGAGUUUGUGACUAAGUGGCUACUACAAAAAAUUGGACAUACCCCAUUUUGAAUACCCUGAGUUGUCUACUUUUGCAAAUGGUAUGCCAUGAUGGGGGUAAUUUUCAUUCCUGGGCAGCCAUACAGUCUCAAAGGCAGCAUAACCAAUCUGGCGAAUUUCAAUGUGAAAAAACUGAAAUGGGCAAGCCCUAUAUUUGAUCGUGUAACUUUUCAAAACACCAUAGGGGGCAUCAUUGUACUCGUGGGACAUCAGAGCAUACAAAUAUGUGUAUUUUAUUGCAAUGAAAGCUAACAGUAUUAUGGCAUUCACAGAUCAAAUGCCACGCAGAACUUGG